AAUGUGGCUUAAUGGUAGAGUGCUUGCCUAGCAUGCAUGAAACCCUGAGUUCGAUUCCUCAGUAUU
rnacentral:tRNA from 1 species